GACGAACGCUGGCGGCGUGCUUAACACAUGCAAGUCGAACGGAAAGGCCCUGCUUUUGUGGGGUGCUCGAGUGGCGAACGGGUGAGUAACACGUGAGUAACCUGCCCUUGACUUUGGGAUAACUUCAGGAAACUGGGGCUAAUACCGGAUAGGAGCUCCUGCUGCAUGGUGGGGGUUGGAACGUUUCGGCGGUUGGGGAUGGACUCGCGGCUUAUCAGCUUGUUGGUGGGGUAGUGGCUUACCAAGGCUUUGACGGGUAGCCGGCCUGAGAGGGUGACCGGCCACAAUGGGACUGAGAGACGGCCCAGACUCCUACGGGAGGCAGCAGUGGGGAAUAUUGCACAAUGGGCGGAAGCCUGAUGCAGCAACGCCGCGUGCGGGAUGACGGCCUUCGGGUUGUAAACCGCUUUCGCCUGUGACGAAGCGUGAGUGACGGUAAUGGGUAAAGAAGCACCGGCUAACUACGUG
rnacentral:rRNA from 1 species